GGUGUCGUCGAGACUCAAUAGGGAAGACCGGUUCAAAUCCGGCGCGGUCCCGCCACUGUAAGGGGAGCGAACCCACAAGAAUGCCACUGGGGAAGCCUGGGAAGGCGUGGGAGAGCGAUGAUCCAAGCCAGGAGAACUGCCUGUUUGA
rnacentral:ncRNA from 1 species